CCUACGGGAGGCUGCAGUGGGGAAUAUUGGACAAUUGUGGGAACCCUGAUCCAGCCAUGCCGCGUGUGUGAAGAAGGCCCUCGGGUUGUAAAGCACUUUCAGUGAGGAAGAACGCCUGGUGGUUAAUACCCAUCAGGAAAGACAUCACUCACAGAAGAAGCACCGGCUAACUCCGUGCCAGCAGCCGCGGUAAUACGGAGGGUGCGAGCGUUAAUCGGAAUUACUGGGCGUAAAGCGCGCGUAGGUGGCUUGAUAAGCCGGUUGUGAAAGCCCCGGGCUCAACCUGGGAACGGCAUCCGGAACUGUCAAGCUAGAGUGCAGGAGAGGAAGGUAGAAUUCCCGGUGUAGCGGUGAAAUGCGUAGAGAUCGGGAGGAAUACCAGUGGCGAAGGCGGCCUUCUGGACUGACACUGACACUGAGGUGCGAAAGCGUGGGUAGCAAACAGGAUUAGAUACCCUAGUAGUC
rnacentral:rRNA from 1 species